UCAGACGAUGCGUCAUGCAUAUCAAUAAGCGGAGGAAAAGAAACUAACAAGGAUUCCCCUAGUAACGGCGAGUGAAGCGGGAAGAGCUCAAAUUUGAAAUCUUAAAGGGUUUCCCUUUACGAAUUGUAGUUUAAAGAAGUGUUUUCUGUUGAGGUUUUGGUAAAAGUUCUUUGGAAUAGGACAUCAUAGAGGGUGAGAAUCCCGUAUUUGACCUUUACUUUCAACUUUGUGAUACACUUUCAAAGAGUCGGAUUGUUUGGGAAUGCAGUCCAAAAUGGGUGGUAAAUUUCAUCUAAAGCUAAAUAUUGGCGAGAGACCGAUAGCGAACAAGUACCGUGAGGGAAAGAUGAAAAGAACUUUGAAAAGAGAGUUAAACAGUACGUGAAAUUGUCAAAAGGGAAGCGUUUGACACCAGUGUUGUUUUUCUGAAAAUCAAUUAAAGAACUGUUUAUGCUAAGCUGUUUAGGACUUUAUCAGCUAUCUGUUUAGUUUUGAGCUUUUCUUUAAUGCACUUUUCAGUUAACAAGUCAACAUCAAUUUCUUUUGCUGUAAAAAAGCUUGAGGAAGGUGGCUUGAGAUUCGUCUUAAGUGUUUAUAGCCUCUUGCCUAUGCAGUCGGAGAGAUUGAGGUCUGCAGCGUAGAUCCUUCGGGGCUAAAUGCAUUUGUGCUAAGUUAUAGCAUUUUAUAGACAACUUGUUGACUAUGAUUUGUCUUGUAGCUUACUCGCUUAUGUUAUUUUACCUACGCUUAGGAUGUUGAGCGCAUGUCUCUCUCU
rnacentral:rRNA from 1 species